AUGGAUCAUUCGACAACCUUCCCCAGCAGCCAAAGUUCAGCCUUCAGCACAGAGCCACCUGCAAGCCCCCAGUCCACCACUCUCACUGUAGAAUCCACCACUUUCCCCAGCAGCCCAUCGUCAGCACCAACAUCACAGCCCUCGGAGAGCUCGCCAACCACGGUCCUCACCGAGGCUUCCUCCUCCUCCCAGAGCAGCUCUGCUACAGCUCACACGACAGGGUCCUUCACCACUUCCCAAACCAUGGUGCCUGGUGAAACAUCCACAACCAUCGAGAACACUUCAGCUUCAGCACUGCCUACACUCACGUCAAUCAACACCCACUCCACAGCCUCCCCAACGAGUCCGGAAUCAGCACUCACCACAAUGUCGUCCGUCAGUUCUGAGAGCACUGUCCUAACUGUGGGAUCUACCAGCUCCUUGGGCAGUCCCAGUGUUGUACACAGCACACUCCUUCCUUACAGCUCCCAUCCUACAGUGUCCACUGAUGCAUCCUCCACCCUCCUCAGCAGCCCGGCGUCGUCCUGGUCAACCUUUUCACCAGCAGCCUCUCCAUCCACAGUCUUCCCUGAGGCUUCAUCUCCCUUCCCAAGUAGCACAGCUUCAGUACACACGACAAUGUUGCCUGCAAGCUCCCCCACCACGCAGCCAGCUGAGUCAUUCACAAGUCCCCACAGUAGCCCUGUGUCCAUACCCACGCCAUUGCCCAGUGACACCUUCCACACUGCUGCCCUCACAGAGGUGUCCACAGCUUUUCCCAGCAGUAGUGGUCCAACUCACGGCACGGUGUCUUCCCACAGCUCUCCUACUACUGUCUCUGUUCUCACACCCACCUCCUUCACCCCGAGCCCUGGUUCCAUACCUGGCACCAUGGUGUCUCCCACCUCCCAGUCCACUCUCAUCCCUAAAGGAUCCACCACCCUUGGCCACAGCCCCUCGUCAGCACCCGUGACAGCCCCAACGGACACCUUCCAAACCUUGGUGUUCAGCACAGCGCCUGCGUCUGCACUCAGCACUGUGCUGUCCAGCAACCCCGCCUCUGCAGCCUCCUCCCCUGCGUCUUGGUCCACUAGAACUUCCGCUAGCUUUCCCCCUCCUUCCUCCACCUCCCCUGUCUCCACCCAUUUUCCAUCCCUCUCUCCCAACACCUCUUCCACUCUUGGUCCCUCAUCCCCCAGCACCUACACUUCUGUGACAAUGACCGUCUCCAGGUGGAGCACCCCAGGUAUGCACCCCAGUUCACUUAUCCACUCUCCUGUCCCUUCCUUCUUCCCUCUCACCCUCCUCUUUACCAAAUCUGGGCUCCCAUCUUCCCACUCUGACUCGUGCCCGCAUUGA
rnacentral:lncRNA from 1 species